UUUGACGUUAGCUGCAGAAGAAGCACCGGCUAACUCCGUGCCAGCAGCCGCGGUAAUACGGAGGGUGCGAGCGUUAAUCGGAAUUACUGGGCGUAAAGCGCAUGCAGGCGGUUUGUUAAGCAAGAUGUGAAAGCCCCGGGCUCAACCUGGGAACCGCAUUUUGAACUGGCAGGCUAGAGUCUUGUAGAGGGGGGUAGAAUUUCAGGUGUAGCGGUGAAAUGCGUAGAGAUCUGAAGGAAUACCGGUGGCGAAGGCGGCCCCCUGGACAAAGACUGACGCUCAGAUGCGAAAGCGUGGGGAGCAAACAGGAUUAGAUACCCUGGUAGUCCACGCUGUAAACGAUGUCUACUUGGAGGUUGUGGCCUAGAGCCGUGGCUUCCGGAGCUAACGCGUUAAGUAGACCGCCUGGGGAGUACGGUCGCAAGAUUAAAACUCAAAUGAAUUGACGGGGGCCCGCACAAGCGGUGGAGCAUGUGGUUUAAUUCGAUGCAACGCGAAGAACCUUACCUACUCUUGACAUCCACAGAA
rnacentral:rRNA from 1 species